CCCCGGGGGAUGCUUAGUACGGCGAGUGAAGCGGCAAAAGCUCAAAUUUGAAAUCUGGUACCUUCGGUGCCCGAGUUGUAAUUUGGAGAGGGCAACUUUGGGGCCGUUCCUUGUCUAUGUUCCUUGGAACAGGACGUCAUAGAGGGUGAGAAUCCCGUGUGGCGAGGAGUGCGGUUCUUUGUAAAGUGCCUUCGAAGAGUCGAGUUGUUUGGGAAUGCAGCUCUAAGUGGGUGGUAAAUUCCAUCUAAAGCUAAAUAUUGGCGAGAGACCGAUAGCGAACAAGUACAGUGAUGGAAAGAUGAAAAGAACUUUGAAAAGAGAGUGAAAAAGUACGUGAAAUUGUUGAAAGGGAAGGGCAUUUGAUCAGACAUGGUGUUUUGUGCCCUCUGCUCCUUGUGGGUAGGGGAAUCUCGCAUUUCACUGGGCCAGCAUCAGUUUUGGUGGCAGGAUAAAUCCAUAGGAAUGUAGCUUGCCUCGGUAAGUAUUAUAGCCUGUGGGAAUACUGGCCGCUGGGAAUGAAGAAUGCCACCUAAGUCCAGGAAGCUGGCAUAAUGGUUAUAUGCCCCCCGUCCUGGAAACCCGAAACAA
rnacentral:rRNA from 1 species